ACUAAUAUAGGGGUUCUUAAUACACGAAACAAUGCGAGCUAUUUUGUAAUCUUUUUUAGAAGAACCCAUAUGUAGCAAAAUAAAAUAAAUAACAAAAUAGGGGUGAUAGGCUUGACACGCAUUGUUAUAUCUUGAUAUCUUUGAAAAACAUUAGUGUUUAAUCAGUUAAAGAGUGAUAAGGCUUUUUAAUACCACAAAAUAUAUCGCAAACUUAUUCUGAGAGUUAACAUCCGAGGAGAACAAGUCAUAACAUUAAUUUUGCCAAUUUGUGCAAAGUAAAAGAUAUUUUACUAACAUCUCACAAAAUUUAUAAUGUUAUUAUUAGUACCUAAUAGGUAAUGUAAAUGAACUCGGCAACACUCCCCUCAACUGUUUAACAAAAACAUAGUCCGCAGUAUUUUUUGUGGGUGUUUUCUGCCCGCUGAUAUAUUGAAUGGCCGCAGUACCUUGACUGUGCAAAGGUAGCAUAAUCAUUUGGCUUUUAAAUGAAGUCUUGUAUGAAUGAAAAUAUGGGGGGGGACUUUAUUCACGUUAUAAGUUGAAUUUACUUAGUAAGUGCAAAUACUUACCUCGAAAUAAUAGACGAGAAGACCCUAAAAAUUUUUAUAACAUGCGAACGAAGUUUUUGUUGGGGCAACAAAGUAGCAAUAAACCUACAUAAGAUUACACGUCACGUAACGUGGUUUGAAUAAAUUACUUUAGGGAUAACAGCGUAAUAUUUUUUUGUUUGCGACCUCGAUGUUGGACUAGGGAGCAAUUGCCUAGAAGGCAUGAUGCCUUGCUCUGUUCGAGCAUAAUACCCUACAUG
rnacentral:rRNA from 1 species